rnacentral:rRNA from 1 species
UACGAAGGGGGCUAGCGUUGCUCGGAAUCACUGGGCGUAAAGGGUGCGUAGGCGGGUCUUUUAAGUCAGAGGCGAAAUCCUGGAGCUCAACUCCAGAACUGCCUUUGAUACUGAGGAUCUUGAGUUCGGGAGAGGUGAGUGGAACUGCGAGUGUAGAGGUGAAAUUCGUAGAUAUUCGCAAGAACACCAGUGGCGAAGGCGGCUCACUGGCCCGAUACUGACGCUGAGGCACGAAAGCGUGGGGAGCAAACAGG